AAUCAAAGUGGAAGUUGUAUCUCUUUAAUGGAAGCUUGAAGGAAUCAUUUUUGCUAUAAUAAUGCACUUUUUCAGUACAAUUUUCAAUAUCUCCAAUUUGUAUUUAAUAAAAUAUUUGGUAAAUGUGAAGAGGGUCAUUCGUUAAAAAUAUAAUUACAUUUGUAUAGCCUGACCUGUUUUAAAAUGUACUGCUGGAGAAACCUCUAGAGGGGGCCUCUGAACCUUUGAGCCUCAAAGUCUAAUUCUGGUUAAACACUUCUCUCAUUGUUAUAAGAAGCUCUGGGGAGAAUAUAACGUUUAUUUCAUAUGUGAAACAUACACUCCGUUAUAGCUCCGUGAUCUGUAUUCAGUUUCACUGACACACCCGCUGGGCUGGUCAAGGAGAAAAAGGACUGGGUACUUGGUGUUACCAGGGCAACAGCUAACAGGAAAGGACAGAUGGUUCUCAGCCCAGCUAAUGGCUUCUGGGAAUCGGGAUCUCCGAUGGCAAAGACUUUACAGCAUUCAUGGAUAAUGAUGAUGAUGAUGAUGAUGAUGUCCAUAAAGAAAGAAUUCCACACCGAGUGGGUAUCUAUGUGGAUUAUCAGGAAGGGAAGGUGACUUUCUACAAUGCAGAAGAUAAUUCACUCAUCUAUUCAUUCACCAACGGACCAAGUUAUGAGGAUGAUGUCCGCCCACUUUUCUCACCCUGGAACAACGAUGCAGAUCCGAUCACAAUUUUGUCCAUUGAAACAACUAAACAAUCUAAAUCAUCUGAAGCAUUAAGGAUCACCUCUACAUCAAUCAAUAGGUUACUUUAUUGUCUUGGAGAGCUAAACUUGACCACCAUUAGUCAAUCACUAAUGAUUGUCACUUCAGAAAUAUUUACACAUUUGCUUGAAGUUGUUUAAAUUGUAUGAUACUUUUUUGCUUAUUAUAGAAAUGUUGCUUUCUCACAUUGACUUUAUAUUUGUUGUAUUUGACUUGAAUAAAAUUGAACUGCUAUUUCAGUUGUUUUUCUCAAACCACGAGGAUAUUGUCAGAGAAAUCAUGCAUAGUGAAUAGGUAAUGUUAUGCCUCCUUUCAUACACAUCUACUGUACACUGUAUUGAUUUGUUAAAAAUGUAAUAUUGCUUUUAAGACUUGAUGUGUAUCAGUUUAUUCCUUGUGAUCAUGAGGAUCAAUCAGUUUAUGCCAGCUCUUACAUAACAAUGUAUAGAUUGGGUAGGUUUGUAAUCAGCCAUUGGUAAGCACAACUCUGCAUCAGAGGCCUUUACAAUGUCAAGACUGCUAUUCUGGGACCUCAUUAAUAAAAUGUUUGUACGCACAGA